UUCGCCAAGGAUAUCAAUCAAGGUUCAAGGUUAAAAUAAAUAAAACAUUGAGAACAUGUAGGACUUCAAAUCCUCUUAGAGAAUCAAGCAAUACAGAACCAGGAUUGCUCCAUCUUUUGGAAGUACAGAAUGUUGGCUCGAUGAUAACAAACAUCGCCAACAUCAAUCAUGUUGCCGCAAGACCAAAACCAAAAAUCAAACAUUACACUGACUACCAUGAGUGCUUCCAUUUCGAAUCACCAACUCCACUAAUGAAAAUCGACUAGUUGGAUAAAGAAAAGAAAAACACAUUUCAGAUUGAAAUUAAAGCAGAUCAAACACAUGUAAAACCUUCUAACCCUACCUCGUCAGGGAGGACGGGCAACACGCAGAGUAAAAACACAUACACGCAAGCGCAGAGAGAGAACAAGCGCAGAGAGAGAAAAUGUUGAAGAAGAUUCACG
rnacentral:lncRNA from 1 species